GGACGUCAAGAACUGCGAUUACUUUAUGGCCUGUUUUGGUUGCAUGCUGGAUCAAAUUUGAGACAUGUAAAUAAGUCUACAAAAUUGUAAGUACUGACAGUAAAAAUUGUAAGUGCUGGCCAUCCGACUGCUGACAAGUUUGUGCUACUUUUCUUGUUUAUACAUAUCCGGUAUUUUGUACCAAAACUGCGUAUGAUCUGAAAGUAACAGCCUUUGCUAUGUUUUACCCAUUUCACUGGGAAUGGGCCUAUAGCAACACUGCACACUUUUUGUUAGGAGCCAUAUCAGACUGUACAUUGUCAAUAAUAUGUAAUGGUCAUUAUUUAUCAGUUUGUAAACCUGAAAGUGAAAACUGAAUUUUCUUCUCUCAGUGAGUGAGUUGAAUCCACUGAGAAGGAAACAAAACAGGAGCCAUUUUAAAUACUUCUAUAACUGUCUAUAAACUUUGGAAUAUAGAUGCAUAACAAAAAAUAUAUAAUAUUUUGGCCAGUUCUGUAUUAAUCACUAAGAAGAAGUUAUCGAAGUUCCAGUAACUAAUGGACAAAGCAGAAGGGUUAAAAGAUCGAGAGUUUUCUCCAAAAAGGUAUGUUACUGAUGGCAGCAAAUUAAACAUCACAAUGACAUACAAACACAUUUUUAAAAAAAAGCUAAACAGCAUCAAAUUUAUACUGUUAUUUACCGUGUUAAGAUCAAGAAAGCGAUCAAGAUCAGUCUCUUCGGAGUCCACCUUCCUGUCUAUGAAAAGCAACAAAUCUAUUGUUGAUCCGCCAAAUUUAAAAGAUGGCAGAAUGUCACCUGAAAGCAGACUAAACACCAUAAGAUCAGGAAUAAGAUCAAGAUCAGUCUCUACAGCACCCAGCUAUCUGACUAUGAAAAGCAAUAUGUCUAUUGUUGAUCCACCCAACUUAAAAGAUGACACAGUAUCACCUGGAGAGAGCUCAAACUCUUUUAUAACCAGCAUGCUGUCCAUCAGAAAUAACUGGUCUAGAGAUACAUCUAACAUUGAGAAAGAGGGAGACAUGGUACUACAACAAAGGUUUGUAAUUUCUGUUCCAGUAAUAAGUAUUUGUUUAAAGGGGUCAUAUGAUGUUGCUAAAAAGAACAUUAUUUUGUGUAUUUGGUGUAAUGAAAUGUGUUUAUGCGGUUUAAGGUUAAAAAAAACAUUAUUUUCCACAUACUGUACAUUAUUGUUUCUCCUCUAUGCCCCGCCUUUCUGAAACGUGUCGAUUUUUACAAAGCUCAUCGGUCUGAAUAGCGAGGUGUGCUCUGAUUGGCCAGAUAUCCAGUGCGUUGUGAUUGGCCGAAUACCUCAAGCAUGUGGCGGAAAUGUUAUGCCCCUCACCAUACUGUGAUGAUGCCGUCCGGCCGGAACGAUGAUUAAAAAACAUGAAAACCCAUUAUAAACGAGGCAUUUGUUGCAUCCAGUGGGGACAUAAUUAUGGAGUAUAAUGACUUAUACUGUCUUUUUACGCGUUGCGUUGCAUCACGCCGCGUAAACAUAAAACC
rnacentral:lncRNA from 1 species